AUUUGCUUUAUCUGUAUUGCUUCAUUUCAUCUUUAUAGUGUCUUGUGAGAUGGGUGUGUUUAUUCCCAUUUUACAGAGAAUAUCCAUUUAUAUAAUGUCAUGAACGUAUAUCCGAUGACAUCAUUUGCCUGCAAACGUACCCAGUGAGUGGCAGAGUCAUCCUGAAGCCUGCUUUCCGGGCCCUGCCUAUAUUCUGGCAUCCUUCCCGUUCAACACAAUUCUCUUCCUUCCCUUUCCUGGAGACAACUAGCAUGCUGUCCUCAAAGAACUGCCAUUGCUGAAUUCUGCCCCAGUGCAAGGCUGCCGCGCUAAUGAACGGU
rnacentral:lncRNA from 1 species